GAGAGUUCAUGAAAGAAAAUAGCUGCUAACUAAUUUUCUAAGCGGUUUAAAUCCGUUUAACUCUUA
rnacentral:tRNA from 1 species